UCGUACGCUUCUUUUUCCACCGGAGCUUGCUCCACCGGAAAAAGAGGAGUGGCGAACGGGUGAGUAACACGUGGGUAACCUGCCCAUCAGAAGGGGAUAACACUUGGAAACAGGUGCUAAUACCGUAUAACAAUCGAAACCGCAUGGUUUUGAUUUGAAAGGCGCUUUCGGGUGUCGCUGAUGGAUGGACCCGCGGUGCAUUAGCUAGUUGGUGAGGUAACGGCUCACCAAGGCCACGAUGCAUAGCCGACCUGAGAGGGUGAUCGGCCACAUUGGGACUGAGACACGGCCCAAACUCCUACGGGAGGCAGCAGUAGGGAAUCUUCGGCAAUGGACGAAAGUCUGACCGAGCAACGCCGCGUGAGUGAAGAAGGUUUUCGGAUCGUAAAACUCUGUUGUUAGAGAAGAAUAAGGAUGAGAGUAACUGUUCAUCCCUUGACGGUAUCUAACCAGAAAGCCACGGCUAACUACGUGCCA
rnacentral:rRNA from 1 species